GAACGCUGGCGGCGUGGAUAAGACAUGCAAGUCGAACGAGAGAAUUGCUAGCUUGCUAAUAAUUCUCUAGUGGCGCACGGGUGAGUAACACGUGAGUAACCUGCCCCCGAGAGCGGGAUAGCCCUGGGAAACUGGGAUUAAUACCGCAUAGUAUCGAAAGAUUAAAGCAGCAAUGCGCUUGGGGAUGGGCUCGCGGCCUAUUAGUUAGUUGGUGAGGUAACGGCUCACCAAGGCGAUGACGGGUAGCCGGUCUGAGAGGAUGUCCGGCCACACUGGAACUGAGACACGGUCCAGACACCUACGGGUGGCAGCAGUCGAGAAUCAUUCACAAUGGGGGAAACCCUGAUGGUGCGACGCCGCGUGGGGGAAUGAAGGUCUUCGGAUUGUAAACCCCUGUCAUGUGGGAGCAAAUUAAAAAGAUAGUACCACAAGAGGAAGAGACGGCUAACUCUGUGCCAGCAGCCGCGGUAAUACAGAGGUCUCAAGCGUUGUUCGGAAUCACUGGGCGUAAAGCGUGCGUAGGCUGUUUCGUAAGUCGUGUGUGAAAGGCGCGGGCUCAACCCGCGGACGGCACAUGAUACUGCGAGACUAGAGUAAUGGAGGGGGAACCGGAAUUCUCGGUGUAGCAGUGAAAUGCGUAGAUAUCGAGAGGAACACUCGUGGCGAAGGCGGGUUCCUGGACAUUAACUGACGCUGAGGCACGAAGGCCAGGGGAGCGAAAGGGAUUAGAUACCCCUGUAGUCCUGGCAGUAAACGGUGCACGCUUGGUGUGCGGGGAAUCGACCCCCUGCGUGCCGGAGCUAACGCGUUAAGCGUGCCGCCUGGGGAGUACGGUCGCAAGAUUAAAACUCAAAGAAAUUGACGGGGACCCGCACAAGCGGUGGAGUAUGUGGCUUAAUUCGAUGCAACGCGAAGAACCUUACCUGGGCUUGACAUGUAAUGAACAACAUGUGAAAGCAUGCGACUCUUCGGAGGCGUUACACAGGUGCUGCAUGGCCGUCGUCAGCUCGUGUCGUGAGAUGUUUGGUUAAGUCCAGCAACGAGCGCAACCCCUGUUGCCAGUUACCAGCACGUGAAGGUGGGGACUCUGGCGAGACUGCCCAGAUCAACUGGGAGGAAGGUGGGGACGACGUCAGGUCAGUAUGGCCCUUAUGCCCAGGGCUGCACACGUACUACAAUGCCCAGUACAGAGGGGGCCGAAGCCGCGAGGCGGAGGAAAUCCUGAAAACUGGGCCCAGUUCGGACUGUAGGCUGCAACCCGCCUACACGAAGCCGGAAUCGCUAGUAAUGGCGCAUCAGCUACGGCGCCGUGAAUACGUUCCCGGGUCUUGUACACACCGCCCGUCACAUCAUGGAAGCCGGUCGCACCCGAAGUAUCUGAAGCCAACCGCAAGGAGGCAGGGUCCUAAGGUGAGACUGGUAACUGGGAU
rnacentral:rRNA from 1 species